UACGAAGGGGGCUAGCGUUGCUCGGAAUCACUGGGCGUAAAGGGUGCGUAGGCGGGUUUUUAAGUCAGAGGUGAAAUCCUGGAGCUCAACUCCAGAACUGCCUUUGAUACUGAAAGUCUUGAGUAUGGGAGAGGUGAGUGGAACUGCGAGUGUAGAGGUGAAAUUCGUAGAUAUUCGCAAGAACACCAGUGGCGAAGGCGGCUCACUGGCCCAUUACUGACGCUGAGGCACGAAAGCGUGGGGAGCAACAGG
rnacentral:rRNA from 1 species